rnacentral:SRP_RNA from 1 species
GGUUAGGUUCCGUGCAAUCUGCUGUCACCCAACCCCGUCAGGCCCGGAAGGGAGCAGCGGUAAGUGAUCAGGGAUGUGCCACGGGGAACUUAACCGGG